GCUCGUGUCGUGAGAAUGUUGGGUUAAGUCCCGUAACGAGCGCAACCCUUGUCCUUAGUUACCAGCACGUUAUGGUGGGCACUCUAAGGAGACUGCCGGUGACAACCGGAGGAAGGUGGGGAUGACGUCAAGUCAUCAUGGCCCUUACGGCCUGGGCUACACACGUGCUACAAUGGUCGGUACAAAGGGUUGCCAAGCCGCGAGGUGGAGCUAAUCCCAUAAAACCGAUCGUAGUCCGGAUCGCAGUCUGCAACUCGACUGCGUGAAGUCGGAAUCGCUAGUAAUCGUGAAUCAGAAUGUCACGGUGAAUACGUUCCCGGGCCUU
rnacentral:rRNA from 1 species